GUCGAGGGGCAGCGAGAGUGAUAGCAAUAUUACUUGUCGGCGACCGGCGCACGGGUGCGUAACGCGUAUGCAACCUACCAUCAACAGGGGGAUAACACUGAGAAAUUGGUACUAAUACCCCAUAAUAUCUCAUGCGGCAUCGCAUGGGGUUGAAAACUCCGGUGGUUGAUGAUGGGCAUGCGUUGUAUUAGCUGGUUGGUGAGGUAACGGCUCACCAAGGCGACGAUACAUAGGGGGACUGAGAGGUUAACCCCCCACAUUGGUACUGAGACACGGACCAAACUCCUACGGGAGGCAGCAGUGAGGAAUAUUGGUCAAUGGACGCAAGUCUGAACCAGCCAUGCCGCGUGCAGGAUGACGGCUCUAUGAGUUGUAAACUGCUUUUGUACGAGGGUAAACCCCGAUACGUGUAUCGGGUUGAAAGUAUCGUACGAAUAAGGAUCGGCUAACUCCGUGCCAGCAGCCGCGGUAAUACGGAGGAUCCGAGCGUUAUCCGGAUUUAUUGGGUUUAAAGGGUGCGUAGGCGGUUUGAUAAGUUAGAGGUGAAAUGUCGGGGCUCAACCCCGAAACUGCCUCUAAUACUGUUGGACUAGAGAAUAGUUGCGGUAGGCGGAAUGUAUGGUGUAGCGGUGAAAUGCUUAGAGAUCAUACAGAACACCGAUUGCGAAGGCAGCUUACCAAACUAUAUCUGACGUUGAGGCACGAAAGCGUGGGUAGCAAACAGGAUUAGAUACCCUGGUAGUCCACGCAGUAAACGAUGAUAACUCGUUGUCGGCGAUACACAGUCGGUGACUAAGCGAAAGCGAUAAGUUAUCCACCUGGGGAGUACGUUCGCA
rnacentral:rRNA from 1 species